AUUGAACGCUGGCGGCAUGCCUUACACAUGCAAGUCGAACGGCAGCACGGGAGCAAUCCUGGUGGCGAGUGGCGAACGGGUGAGUAAUAUAUCGGAACGUGCCCAGUCGUGGGGAUAACGUAGCGAAAGCUACGCUAAUACCGCAUACGAUCUAUGGAUGAAAGCGGGGGAUCGCAAGACCUCGCGCGAUUGGAGCGGCCGAUAUCAGAUUAGGUAGUUGGUGAGGUAAAGGCUCACCAAGCCGACGAUCUGUAGCUGGUCUGAGAGGACGACCAGCCACACUGGGACUGAGACACGGCCCAGACUCCUACGGGAGGCAGCAGUGGGGAAUUUUGGACAAUGGGCGCAAGCCUGAUCCAGCAAUGCCGCGUGCAGGAUGAAGGCCUUCGGUUGUAAC
rnacentral:rRNA from 1 species